rnacentral:rRNA from 1 species
UACGUAGGGGGCAAGCGUUGUCCGGAUUUAUUGGGCGUAAAGAGCGUGUAGGCGGCCAGAUAGGUCGGUUGUGAAAACUGGAGGCUUAACCUUCAGACGUCGACCGAAACCAUCUGGCUAGAGUCCGGAAGAGGAGAAUGGAAUUCCUGGUGUAGCGGUGAAAUGCGCAGAUAUCAGGAAGAACACCCGUGGCUAAGGCGGUUCUCUAGUACGGUACUGACGCUGAGACGCGAAAGCGUGGGGAGCAAACAGG